rnacentral:lncRNA from 1 species
CAGGUUGUCGCAUUUCUCCCUCAACGUCGAUCUCUCUAGAAUCUCCUUCUUCCGUCGGCGAACUCAUUCCGAUCUCUUUCUCUGGCGAAUUCCACUCGUAAGAAACUCUCCAAUCUCUCUUCUGUUCCAAUAUUCUUUUCUUUUGUAAUUAAACUGAUUCUAUAAUCAAAUUUUCUUCCCGUAUUGUUUUAAAUUUAAGCUGGCAUUACAUGCUGAUUGCUUGUAUGAAAAAUCAGUGUAGUAAUUAAUACAAUAAAAAGGUAGAACCUUUAUCAUUGUUUUAUGGGUCCUGCUCUUGCAUCACUUUAGUGGAACUUUGCGACUAUCAAGUCAUUUUUCCAUUCUUGCUAAUUAUAUUAAAAUUCCAGGUUUCAUUUUUUUCUUCUCACGGGCCAUAAGAUCAAGGUUAGUUUGUUAGAUUACUUGAAAAUCAAUAUCUCUAUUAAAAGUAACUAAUAACUCGCAAUUAUUAGUUUCUUUUUCCUUGGAAGGAGCAAUUGAUAGGAACAUGUUGCUGUCGAGAAUUGUGGUAGAAGGUUAGUAGGCAGUCGUGUGUGUGUCUUUCCCGUACCAGUAGGAUUAGUUUUUAACCUUGUAUGUGAU